AAACAAGAUACUGUGUGAUUUUCGUAUUUUUAUUUCACCUGUUUAUUUCACUUACUGAAAUAUUUACCAUUAUCAAACAGGAACUAUUUUCGUGCAAAAAACCUGCAACUUACAGUUCACUCUCUAGCCUUUUUCUCUUGCAAAUGUUGAUUGCCGUCUGUCGCACCAGGUUACCAAGACAACGCCUGCUCACCACCAUUCCGUUUACCAGGGGAAUUGCCAUGCUGGAAGCCACAUGACCGGUCCAGCCUGCAUGUUUUCCAAUGUCUACAGGCCAGCCAAGGGAGUGUAGAAACUGUAGGAACUGGGGCUGUACACUCUUACGAGAGGACUGUAGGGAUAAAGGUCAAAUAGAAUGGGGACCAUGUCCAGUUGUUCUACCUCUGAAAACAGCCCCUGUUACUUGUGAUUAACAUCACUUGCCUGGAGGGACAUUCAGCUCAUGGAGUUGCAUGAUUAAACAUGUAUAUUA